rnacentral:rRNA from 1 species
CCUACGGGGGGCUGCAGUGAGGAAUAUUGGUCAAUGGGCGAGAGCCUGAACCAGCCAAGUCGCGUGAGGGAGUACUGCCCUAUGGGUUGUAAACCUCUUUUGUCGGGGAGCAAAAGCCGGACGUGUCCGGCUGUGAGAGUACCCGAAGAAAAAGCAUCGGCCAACUCCGUGCCAGCAGCCGCGGUAAUACGGAGGAUGCGAGCGUUAUCCGGAUUUAUUGGGUUUAAAGGGUGCGCAGGCGGAUUUUUAAGUCAGCGGUAAAAUCGUGGGGCUCAACCCCAUCCAGCCGUUGAAACUGGGGAUCUAGAGUGUGCGAGAGGUAUGCGGAAUGCGUGGUGUAGCGGUGAAAUGCAUAGAUAUCACGCAGAACCCCGAUUGCGAAGGCAGCAUACCGGUGCACAACUGACGCUCAGGCACGAAAGCGUGGGUAUCGAACAGGAUUAGAUACCCCAGUAGUC